CCACCAGGCUGGAGCCCGAGUGUCCCUGUGGGGCUACUCUGAGCCACCUCCCUGGACAGCAGCCACUACAGCCUCAAGGAAUUUUUAAAUACCUGAACUUUCGAGGACAAGGAGAGAAGACAACAAAAGCAAAGCAACAGCCACAAAGCGGAGGCUUAUUUGGCAAGGAAGACCUCACUGCUGACCCUCUGAGGCUGCUGGGAGCCGCACGGCCUGCCUUGCUGAGUUUCAGAGGCUGCUUUCUCUGUUGGGCCCUGCGUGGAGGACAAAGGCACAGCAGGGAGGACAGACUGUGACACAGGGUGGCUCCCGGUGCGCUGACAAACUGCACCCAAGCUCCAAGACCGACGCAGGCCAGGAAGGAGGGAAAACAACGGUGGAGUAAAGGAAUUAGAAACAGCUCAUUUCCUCUCCUCUAAGAGAACCCACAGUGCAAAGUGCAAGGCU
rnacentral:lncRNA from 1 species